rnacentral:rRNA from 1 species
GAUGAACGCUGGCGGCGUGCCUAAUACAUGCAAGUCGAGCGAACGGACGAGAAGCUUGCUUCUCUGAUGUUAGCGGCGGACGGGUGAGUAACACGUGGAUAACCUACCUAUAAGACUGGGAUAACUUCGGGAAACCGGAGCUACUACAGGAUAAUAUUUUGAACCGCAUGGUUCAAAAGUGAAAGACGGUAUUGCUGUCACUUAUAGAUGGAUCCGCGCUGCAUUAGCUAGUUGGUAAGGUAACGGCUUACCAAGGCAACGAUGCAUAGCCGACCUGAGAGGAUGAUCGGCCACACUGGAACUGAGACACGGUCCAGACUCCUACGGGAGGCAGCAGUAGGGAAUCUUCCGCAAUGGGCGAAAGCCUGACGGAGCAACGCCGCGUGAGUGAUGAAGGUCUUCGGAUCGUAAAACUCUGUUAUUAGGGAAGAACAUAUGUGUAAGUAACUGUGCACAUCUUGACGGUACCUAAUCAGAAAGCCACGGCUAACUACGUG